AUUGAACGCUGGCGGCAGGCCUAACACAUGCAAGUCGAGCGGAUGAAGGGAGCUUGCUCCUGGAUUCAGCGGCGGACGGGUGAGUAAUGCCUAGGAAUCUGCCUGGCAGUGGGGGAUAACGUCCGGAAACGGGCGCUAAUACCGCAUACGUCCUGAGGGAGAAAGUGGGGGAUCUUCGGACCUCACGCUAUCAGAUGAGCCUAGGUCGGAUUAGCUAGUUGGUGGGGUAAAGGCCUACCAAGGCGACGAUCCGUAACUGGUCUGAGAGGAUGAUCAGUCACACUGGAACUGAGACACGGUCCAGACUCCUACGGGAGGCAGCAGUGGGGAAUAUUGGGCAAUGGGCGAAAGCCUGAUCCAGCCAUGCCGCGUGUGUGAAGAAGGUCUUCGGAUUGUAAAGCACUUUAAGUUGGGAGGAAGGGCAGUAAGUUAAUACCUUGCUGUUUUGACGUUACCAACAGAAUAAGCACCGGCUAACUUCGUG
rnacentral:rRNA from 1 species